rnacentral:rRNA from 1 species
AGCAGCCGCGGUAAUUCCAGCUCCAAUAGCGUAUAUUAAAGUUGUUGCAGUUAAAAAGCUCGUAGUUGAAUUUCGGAGUUUGUCGGUUGGUCGGGCUUCACUGUCCGCACUGACCUGAUGGAUUCCUACCUUCUGAAUAACCAGCAUGCUAUUAAGUUAGUGCGUUGGGGAAGCAGAGCUAUUACCUUGAAAAAAUUAGAGUGCUUAAAGCAGGCUUAUGCUUGAAUAGAUUAGCAUGGAAUAAUAAAAUAGGACGGCAUGGUUCUAUUUUGUUGGUUUCUAGGAUCACCGUAAUGAUUAAUAGGGAUAGUUGGGGGCAUUAGUAUUCAAUUGUCAGAGGUGAAAUUCUUGGAUUUAUUGAAGACUAACUUCUGCGAAAGCAUUUGCCAAGGAUGUUUUCAUUAAUCAAGAACGAAAGUUAGGGGAUCGAAGACGAUCAGAUACCGUCGU